rnacentral:rRNA from 1 species
GAUGAACGCUAGCGGCAGGCUUAAUACAUGCAAGUCGAGGGGUAGCAAGAUUGUAGCAAUACAAUUGUUGACGACCGGCAAACGGGUGCGGAACACGUACACAACCUUCCUACAAGUGGGGAAUAGCCCAGAGAAAUUUGGAUUAAUACCCCGUAACAUAGCGAUGUGGCAUCACAUUGCUAUUAUAGCUUCGGCGCUUGUUGAUGGGUGUGCGGCUGAUUAGAUAGUUGGCGGGGUAACGGCCCACCAAGUCUACGAUCAGUAGCUGAUGUGAGAGCAUGAUCAGCCACACGGGCACUGAGACACGGGCCCGACUCCUACGGGAGGCAGCAGUAAGGAAUAUUGGACAAUGGACGCAAGUCUGAUCCAGCCAUGCCGCGUGAAGGAUUAAGGUCCUCUGGAUUGUAAACUUCUUUUAUAAGGGACGAAAAAAGGUCUUUCUAGAUCGUCUGACGGUACCUUAUGAAUAAGCACCGGCUAACUCCGUGCCAGCAGCCGCCGCGGUAA